GGAGGGUUGGCCGAGCGGUUUAAGGCGCGAGUUUCGAAAACUCGUGGACAUUUGUCCUCACAGGUUCGAAUCCUGUACCCUCCGCCA
rnacentral:tRNA from 1 species